GUCUUUCCGGGACAUCUGAUAAAACUGUAACGAUACAGAGAAGAUAAGCAUGGCCCCUGCGCAAGGAUGACACAAAUCGAGAGAUGGUCUCCUCUUUU
rfam:Nicotiana attenuata strain TT chromosome 10, whole genome shotgun sequence.